rnacentral:rRNA from 1 species
GGCCUCUUGGUCAGAUUUUGAGGUCUGGCCUGCUCACUGACAAGUUUUUAAAGAGCCGCGGUAUUUUGACCGUGCAAAGGUAGCAUAAUCAUUAGUCUCUUAAUUAGGGGCUGGAAUGAAUGGCUUGACGAGAAAUUAACUGUCUCUUAUUAAAUUAUAAAAUUUAACUUUUGAGUUAAAAGGCUUAAAUUUUUCUUAAAGACGAGAAGACCCUAUAGAGCUUGACAUUUUAUUUUUAUAUAAUUUUUAGUUAGUCUUUUUAUAUUUAAAGAUAAUGUUUUGUUGGGGUGACAUGAAGAAUAGUUAAACUCUUCAUUAUAAAAUCAUUGAUUUAUGUUUAUUUUGAUCCAUAAUUUAUGAUCAUAAGAUUAAGUUACCUUAGGGAUAACAGCGUAAUUGUUUUUGAGAGCUCAUAUUGACAAAGCAGAUUGCGACCUCGAUGUUGGAUUAAGAAUAAUUUUGGGUGCAGGAGCCCAAUAAUUAGUCUGGUCGACC